AAGCCAGGGCCACAAAAUGAGACCCAGCUCUCAUUAUAGCACACAAUUUGAACACAAAGGAUUCCUUACCCAGUGACAUCAUCUCCCCAACGUGACUAUUAUUUUCCUUCUCUGAGUUGGUUUGCAAACAGGCUCUGAGCUCACACAUUCUUCUUGGGAGUGAUGUACACUCAAAUCCUCAAAGUCCAUCAUGCCUGUAAGAACAAAAGGCCCCUUUCUUUCUAAUAACUGAGAUUUCUUGCCAGCUCUGCAGCUUAAGAAAGACUUGAACCAUCAAGGGAAAGAAUGGUAAACGGGCCUAUAAACCCCAUACAGGAGGAGAACAGACCGGACAGCCAGGCCGAGGAGCCCGUGGUGUGUGUGUGUUAAAAAACAGAAAAGAAAUAUCCAUGGGAACUUGACUUUAAAAAAAUGUAUUAGAUGCAAUUUGGCUGAAAAGGGACGGCUGCAGGAGCGAGGAAGGCAACAGUGAGUAGAAAACAAAAGCACAGAAACACUUUCUGCUGGACUCCUCUGGGAGGAAGCUUCACGAAAGGAUGAGAUUGCACUGGGAAAGAGAAAGCUGUAUUAAGUGAAAACUCAGUGACUCUACUGGACACUGUGCCCACUGCUCAGCCUAGGGCCGAUUGUGGCACUCUUUGUGGGCGCACGUGGUAUCCAGGCCGCUCUAGCAUCUCAGUAACGGGUGAUGCUCACCCAUCAGCCGCCCCAACCUGGCUGACUGUCCAAACCGCCCUCUGCAUUCGGCACUCAGUGCCUGGCGCUAAGACCUAGGUUCUGGAAAUGACCGAGAAAAUCAGGCGCGAAAGGCCGACCUCCAGCCUCCUCCUUCUGAGUUCCCUCAAGGACUGGCAGCAACCUUUCGGAAUUUGUGCCUUUUGCUGAGACUGCAGAGAACCCCUGUGAAGCCGGAUGCUCCCGCUUCUGUGGGACCACUUCCGGUUAGUCACUUCCGUUGUGGAAGCCUGGUCUCCCCGCUCGAAGGGAACGCUCGGUGCUUGAAAAAGCCACUAGGAUCUCCCAGGCAUCCCAGAGGAAAAGGUCAAGGGCCCUUAAGGGAUGCCUGGCUCCAUAUUAAGUCUCUUUAGUCAUCACAGGGGACCUGUGUAAAUCAUUACUCAAGUCUGAGCACUCCGAUGACUAAGAUACAGCAGGUCAGGUCAGUUCUCCGCAGGCAAAACCACAGCGCCGUCAGGUAGCGCUGACUGUCACACCCCAUGCCUACAUGAGUGAAAUGACAGCCUCCAGUAUGAUGUUGAAUUUUUUUCUUUGUAAGCAUGUCAACACUAGUAAUAGCCGACUCAGUUAACCAUGGCUUAAAAUAACGAGUAUGAAAACAGGCAACAGAAAUUUUUGAAAGGUAUCUGCUUAUACUUAAAAGUUUACUAUACAAAGCUUAAAUGAGUGAACAGUAGAAAAC
rnacentral:lncRNA from 1 species